rnacentral:rRNA from 1 species
UACGUAGGUGGCAAGCGUUGUCCGGAUUUACUGGGCGUAAAGAGCGCGCAGGCGGUCGAUCAAGUCGCGUGUGAAAGCCCCCGGCUCAACUGGGGAGGGUCACGCGAUACUGAUCGACUCGAAGACAGGAGAGGGUAGUGGAAUUCCCGGUGUAGUGGUGAAAUGCGUAGAUAUCGGGAGGAACACCAGUGGCGAAGGCGACUACCUGGCCUGUUUCUUGACGCUGAGGCGCGAAAGCUAGGGGAGCAAACGGG